rfam:Canis lupus familiaris chromosome 10, whole genome shotgun sequence.
GUGCUCGCUUCGGCAGCACAUAUACUAAAAUUGGAACGAUACAGAGAAGAUUAGCAUGGCCCCUAACAGGGAAAUACAUUGCAAUACAAAUCUCCCUCAAAAAAUU